rnacentral:misc_RNA from 1 species
GGAAGUAGAAGUCGUAACAAGGUUUCCGUAGGUGAACCUGCGGAAGGAUCAUUAAAGUUAUAGUCCCCCGGCCCUCUGGGCUGGGGUCUUCUAUACCACCCUUUGUUUAUUACACCUUUGUUGCUUUGGCAGGCCUGCCCUCGGGCUGCUGGCUCCGGCCGGCUCGCGUCUGCCAGAGGACCUAAACUCUGUUUGUAUAUGAAGUCUGAGUACUAUAUAAUAGUUAAAACUUUCAACAACGGAUCUCUUGGUUCUG